ACGGAAGGCAGCAGUAGGGAAUCUUCGGCAAUGGGGGCAACCCUGACCGAGCAACGCCGCGUGAGUGAAGAAGGUUUUCGGAUUGUAAAGCUCUGUUGUAAGAGAAGAACGUGUGUGAGAGUGGAAAGUUCACACAGUGACGGUAACUUACCAGAAAGGGACGGCUAACUACGUGCCAGCAGCCGCGGUAAUACGUAGGUCCCGAGCGUUGUCCGGAUUUAUUGGGCGUAAAGCGAGCGCAGGCGGUUUAAUAAGUCUGAAGUAAAAGGCAGUGGCUUAACCAUUGUUCGCUUUGGAAACUGUUAGACUUUAGUGCAGAAGGGGAGAGUGGAAUUCCAUGUGUAGCGGUGAAAUGCGUAGAUAUAUGGAGGAACACCGGUGGCGAAAGCGUCUCUCUGGUCUGUAACUGACGCUGAGGCUCGAAAGCGUGGGGAGCAAACAGGAUUAGAUACCCUGGUA
rnacentral:rRNA from 1 species